GCCCGUGUCCGGUGCGGUCCCAUACGAGAUGGGUUCUCUGCCUUCGGUGCGUGUCGGCGCCUCUGCCAAGGCGGAGCGGACGGCGAAAGAAAGGCCGAAAGCCAUCGUGACGUCGAGGCACAAGCUCCACUGUCCUAACAGUAGAGGUCGCAUGGAGUUCGUGAGACGGGCAUUAGCUGCCGCUGGAGCUGUACCCAGCCCACCGUAUUUUCACAAAUUAGCCAGACAAUACGCCUUCUCUUCGCAUCACUACUGGUCCGGGUCAGCCAUAAGAUCCUUCCUGUUAGGGACUUUUCUUUGAACUAAGAUGUAAUUAACGGGAUUCAUUACCCCUUUUAAGUUACCCUUGGUUUCUACGAGGGAUAACAGGUAAUAAGGACAAAGGGAAGUAAUGUAAAUUUUGUCAGUUUUAU
rnacentral:lncRNA from 1 species